GUCACAUUUGUACGUUUCAUUUGUGAUGUAGUUCAGAGCUGUAGAGCUCAGUUUCUCAUCAGGAGGUGAAUGUGGACGAGAGGGUGGAUGGUAUGAAGAGGCAAGAUGGCUGCCAAACUGCAGAGCACUGCUGGAGACAAACGAAGGCAGGGGGAAGACCAGCGCUGCUCACCACAGCAGGAAAAAAAGGAAGAAAAAGAGAGAAAAAAGGCUUUUCCCGAGGGAGAGCACUGGAUGGAUGCCAAAAGGGGGCGUUUGUCUCAUGCAGCCGGAGGGGCGGGACCAGAGGUGGGUGUGUGUCUCUCAGCUGAUGCGCGUAUCAACCGACCGACUCCAUCAUCAGCAUCCGACGCUGACAGCGGUCGAAGACAGCAUCCCUAAUGUAACCGACCCACGGCAACAUCGCAGAAUAACACAGAGCCCGGCCGACCAGGACUGACGUUGCCGUGCCUUGUGACAAUAUUGUUUAUUGAGGCUGCCAUCUUACAAGCCGCCGAGCUGCAAAAUAGUGAGUAGCCUUUGAUGAUGGACCGCCAGGAUGCUACAAUCGUGUGUGUGCCCCCACUACCUGCAUUAGGUUGUGAUGACCCACACUACUUCCAAAUGUAUCUGUGACCCUCCCCAAACCUGACUCCUAACCUCUAAUCCCUGACCUUUGACCCCACU